rnacentral:rRNA from 1 species
UACGAACUGUGCAAACGUUAUUCGGAAUCACUGGGCUUAAAGGGUGCGUAGGCGGUCGUUUAAGUAGGGUGUGAAAGCCCUCGGCUCAACCGAGGAAUUGCGCCCUAAACUGGAUGGCUGGAGUGAGAUAGGGGUGUGUGGAACUUCCGGUGGAGCGGUGAAAUGUGUUGAUAUCGGAAGGAACGCCGGUGGCGAAAGCGGCAUCCUGGACCGACACUGACGCUGAGUGAGCGAAAGCCAGGGGAGCAAACGGG